rnacentral:rRNA from 1 species
AUACGGAGGGUGCAAGCGUUAUUCGGAAUCACUGGGCGUAAAGGACGCGUAGGCGGGUUGGCAAGUCAGAUGUGAAAUCCUACAGCUUAACUGUAGAAUUGCAUUUGAAACUGCUAACCUAGAGUAUGGGAGGGGGAGAUGGAAUUAGUGGUGUAGGGGUAAAAUCCGUAGAUAUCACUAGGAAUACCGAAAGCGAAGGCGAUCUCCUGGAACAUAACUGACGCUAAGGCGUUAAAGCGUGGGGAGCAAACAGGAUUAGAAACCCUAGUAGUCC